rnacentral:hammerhead_ribozyme from 1 species
AUCCUGCUGAUGAGUUUCAAAUAGGAUGAAACGCACAUCCUGGAU